rnacentral:lncRNA from 1 species
AGCUCGAUAGGACGUCGCAUCUUAUGCCCACAUAUCUUGUCUGGAACAAGAAUCAGAGCCACUGUAGUUCGGCUUACGCACGCCAAACAACACAAAACAUACAAACAGAUGGCAAACAUGGAGCCCGACAACCACUGGAUGGGAUUACGUCGGCAUCCGAACCAAAACACACUCAAAAGGGCAAACGUGGAGCCCGACAGCCAAUCACUGGACUUACGUCGGC